rnacentral:misc_RNA from 1 species
GAAAUGCGAUAAGUAAUGCGAAUUGCAGAAUUCAGUGAGUCAUCGAAUCUUUGAACGCACAUUGCGCCCUUUGGUAUUCCGAAGGGCAUGCCUGUUCGAGCGUCAUUAUCAACCCUCAAGCCUGGCUUGUUGUUGGACUUCUCAGGUCGUGGAGACGCGACCGGUCCGAAAGAAAAUGACGGCGUCCGGUUGGACCCUCGGUACAAUGAGUUUCUAGUUAGGCACGUACCGCAGUGGACCACCGUGGCCCGGUCCACCAUUAUUUUUUUACAAGGUUGACCUCGGAUCAGGUAGGAAUACCCGCUGAACUUAA